GCCAGGUGCGGUGGCACACACUUGUAGGCCCAGGUCCUCGGGAGGCUGCGGCAGGAGGAUCGCUGGAGCCCAGGAGUUCUGGGCUGUAGUGCGCAAUGCCGAUUGGGUGUCCGCACUAAGUUCGGCAUCAAUAUGGUGACCUCCCGGGAGCGGGGGACCACCAGGUUGCCUAAGGAGGGGUGAACUGGCCCAGGUCGGCAACGGAGCAGGUCAGAAUGUUUCUAACUUAACCAGAGAUUAUUUAAUGAGUAAAUAUACAAUUAUUUAUUUAAAAUCAUUUAUUCUCAGCAAAAUCAAACAUAUCAUU
rnacentral:SRP_RNA from 1 species